UUUUUUAUUGUUGGAAGCGGGGAAAAAUCACUAUUCCGGUCAACAGUUUUAUAUCCAAGGAAUUGUCAUUCCAGUCAGGAAAACCUUUGGUAUCCGGACCACUUUUAGAUGAGAGCCAAGUAAGGUCCACUGUGGAGGAGAUAAAGCAGGUCAUCACAGCCAGCUCAGUUAGAAGACAAGAAAUUAACAGCGGAGAGGGUCAAAGCAGAGGACUUUGAAGCAGAAGAAGGGGAGCCGCUUGAGGAAGAAGAUGAGCUUUUUGAUCAAGCUGAUGAUUGCCUGGGCACAUUGAUGAUCAAAACCUUCGAAGCAUCUUUCUUACCUUUCUUUCUUUGAUGAGCUUUCAGCUUACGUAACCCCUAUGUGGGGUAAGGAUAAAACAUCAGAAGGGAGGAGAAUCGCCAUUUGUAUAUUUGACGAGCAUUGGAAGGAAGCUGCUCUUAAAUAUUAUGGUACCUUUGUCCCUUUCAUGCUAGAAGCUUGCAAUUAAUGAUGAAAACCCAGAUGUUCGUCAGGCAGCUGUUUAUGGAAUUGGUAUCUGUGCGGGGCUUGGUGGAUCUGGAUCUGUGUUUAAACCACUUGUUGGAGGCACUUUCCAGGUUCAAUGCUGUAAUAAGUCAUCCCAAUGCACUUCAUUCGUACAGUACAAUUGUUGAC